UUCCUCCUCUCGAGUUCUCUCUCUUCACCCUCCCUCUCCAGUUCCCUUCUUCCACAGAGAGAUCCAUGGCCAAAUCUAGUCAUCGCCGGCCACCGACGAGACCUCCGACGACUUGGAUCGCGCGAAGUCACUGCAAUGACAUAGGGAAGUUCUAUUAUUUCAUCUUGCAGCACAGAAACGAAGAGGUUUGAUGCCUCCAUCCCCUGCCGACUCAACAGCAACGAAGCAACAAAAGCCUAGAGACCUUGGUUCUUCGUGCCCCUCUUUUUCAUUGUUGUGGAUACAAGGAUAAUGUUCUCUCAUGUGUAGUUCUAAACAAUGAUCACUUAUACACGAGUUAUCAAAUUGAAAGCAAAUGCGCGUAUAACAAACAUCCUAUGGAAAGUCAAGUAUGUAUGUCAUAGAUGCACAAUGUACAUCGUAGCUGAAACUUUGUGCCAA